AUUGAACGCUGGCGGCAUGCCUUACACAUGCAAGUCGAACGGCAGCACGGGGCAACCUGGUGGCGGGUGGCGAACGGGUGAGUAAUGCAUCGGAACGUACCUUUCAGUGGGGGAUAACGUAGCGAAAGUUACGCUAAUACCGCAUAUUCUGUGAGCAGGAAAGCAGGGGAUCGCAAGACCUUGCGCUGAUUGAGCGGCCGAUGUCAGAUUAGCUAGUUGGUGAGGUAAAGGCUCACCAAGGCGACGAUCUGUAGCGGGUCUGAGAGGAUGAUCCGCCACACUGGAACUGAGACACGGUCCAGACUCCUACGGGAGGCAGCAGUGGGGAAUUUUGGACAAUGGGGGCAACCCUGAUCCAGCCAUGCCGCGUGAGUGAAGAAGGCCUUCGGGUUGUAAAGCUCUUUCGGCCGGGAGGAAAUCGCACGGGCUAAUACCCUGUGUGGAUGACGGUACCGGAAUAAGAAGCACCGGCUAACUACGUGCCAGCAGCCGCCGUAAAAC
rnacentral:rRNA from 1 species